rnacentral:rRNA from 1 species
UACGAAGGGGACUAGCGUUGUUCGGAAUCACUGGGCGUAAAGCGCACGUAGGCGGCUUUGUAAGUCAGGGGUGAAAUCCCGGGGCUCAACCUCGGAACUGCCUUUGAUACUGCGAAUCUUGAGUCCGAUAGAGGUGGGUGGAAUUCCUAGUGUAGAGGUGAAAUUCGUAGAUAUUAGGAAGAACACCGGUGGCGAAGGCGGCCCACUGGAUCGGUACUGACGCUGAGGUGCGAAAGCGUGGGGAGCAAACAGG